rnacentral:rRNA from 1 species
GGGGAUGUCUGAGUCAGAAGCGGCGGGAGGCGCGAGGGGGCAGAGGUUGGUCGGAAGUGCUGGCGGUAAAGAGGGGUUAGGCGGUUUCGCAAGGCAGGUGUGAAAGCCCGGGGCUCAACCGCGGAAGUGUACUUGAUAAUACGGAGCUGGAGUACUGAAGAGGAGAGCGGAAUGCCCGGUGUAGAGGUGAAAUUCGUAGAUAUCGGGAGGAACACCAGUGGCGAAGGCGGCUCUCUGGGCAGAUACUGACGCUGAGACGCGAAAGCAUGGGGAGCAAACAGGAUUAGAUACCCCGUAGUC